UACGUAGGGUGCGAGCGUUGCCCGGAUUUAUUGGGCGUAAAGCGCACGUAGGCGGUCCGGCAAGUCGGGUGUGAAAGCCCUCGGCUCAACCGAGGAAUUGCGCUCUAAACUGUCGUGCUCGAGGAAUCUAGAGGUGAGCGGAACUGAUGGUGGAGCGGUGAAAUGCGUUGAUAUCAUCAGGAACACCGGAGGCGAAGGCGGCUCACUGGGGAUUUUCUGACGCUGAGGAACGAAAGCCAGGGGAGCGAACGGG
rnacentral:rRNA from 1 species